ensembl:lncRNA
GGGUUACUGACCUGGUAGCCUGUCUGCCCCUGGGUGGGUCCGGGAUGGGUGUGAGGGUCUGGGGGCGCUCCAUCUCUGGGCCGGGGCCCUGGCUGGGCCUCGGGGCCUUGGGUCCUGGUUUGUGUGUUGCCGGGGUUGUGGGCGGGUGGGUGCAUGGGAGCCCAUCCCUGGCGCAGGGUGCCGCCGGUGUGUCGAGUCGCCUGUGGGGCUCUUCAACCGGUGGGGGAGAUUGUUACACCUUGCAGGAGCUUUCUUCCCCUCAGGAACUCUCUGCAGGAGGGGGAGAUACAGGAGAGGUGGAGGAAGAUCUCAGCCUGGGCGUCUAUUGUCUCAUGUAGUCUGGAAGACGAGUGGAUGGUGGGGUGGGUGCAGUUUUCUCUGUGGUGGGGUUGGGUGGACUGUCCCGGGCUCUGUGGGGCCGGGGGGCGCUGCUGCGCCUCUGUGGGUCUUCCUUGGUCUCUUGUGUUCUGGGGGCCUCUGGAUGUCUGGAGUUUUGAUCUCCUCCAUACCUGCUUGAUACCAUAGAGGACAGGGCUGUGGCUCCCCACACUCUCUAGCAGAUCAUUACAUGGAGAAACCUUUGGAAUGCAAGAAUGCUGAUCCACACAGGUAUGCACACAGGUGUACACAUGGGUAUUCACAGAUGCGGACUACAGCUUUCUUGGCUGCUGCCUCAAAGCACACUGUGCGCUGUCUAUCUUGCGUGCUGCACAAUAUCGUUUAUUAUUUAGUAACUAUUGAUAUCUAUGACUAGCUAGUUUAUUGUGAUGGUGCUUUUUUUUUUUUUUCUAUUAUUAUGUUGCUCUUUGUUGUUUGCUGUCUCCCCUGUUUUUUUUUGUUUUUCUUUCUCUCCAUACAGGUGACCCAGUAGUUUUUUUUUUUGUUGUUGUUUGUUUUUUUUUUCUCUCUUCCCCCCCUUCUCACCGUCUCUUCUCCCCUUUGGUUUUCUUUCUUUCUCUCCCCCUCUUUCUUUCAUUCUUUCCCCCUGUCCUAAAAAAAAAAAAAAGGAUGACAAAGGAUGAACUGAAGCUCCGCCAUCACGUGAUGUCACAUGCUGCUGUUUCUGAUGUCACUUCCAAAAAAAAAAAAAAAUAAUAAUAAUAAUAAUAAUAAUAAUAAUAAUUCCUUUUUUUUUUUUUUUUUUAAUAAUAAUUCCUAAACAAAUGAUAUUUAACUUGACAACAAAACUGGACAAUGAGUGACCAAUGAUGAGACAUCCUAUUUUGGUGAGUAGCAGACAUGGAUCAAUUUUCAUUUGCAACCACAAUA